rnacentral:rRNA from 1 species
GUACACUCCUGCGGGAGGCAGCAGUAGGGAAUCUUCCACAAUGGGUGCAAACCUGAUGGAGCAAUGCCGCGUGAGUGAAGAAGGUCUUCGGAUCGUAAAGCUCUGUUGUUAGAGAAGAACACGUGCUAGGUAACUACUAGCGCCUUGACGGUAUCUAACCAGAAAGUCACGGCUAACUACGUGCCAGCAGCCGCGGUAAUACGUAGGUGACAAGCGUUGUCCGGAUUUAUUGGGCGUAAAGGGAGCGCAGGCGGUCUGUUUAGUCUAAUGUGAAAGCCCACGGCUUAACCGUGGAACGGCAUUGGAAACUGACAGACUUGAAUGUAGAAGAGGAAAAUGGAAUUCCAAGUGUAGCGGUGGAAUGCGUAGAUAUUUGGAGGAACACCAGUGGCGAAGGCGAUUUUCUGGUCUAACAUUGACGCUGAGGCUCGAAAGCGUGGGGAGCGAACAGGAUUAGAAACCCUAGUAGUCCCAUGA